rnacentral:misc_RNA from 1 species
GACUUCUCAACCACAACUUUGAAAAUUGUGGCUUGGAUGUGGGGGAAUUUUUGCAGGCUCAACAAAGGCCGGCUCCCCUGAAAUGCAUUAGUGGUAUUCUGAGCUGCUAUUGGUGUGAUAAAAUUAUCUAUGCCUUUGCUGGUCAGCGGCUGCUUAUAAACGGAUGAAACAAUUUGACAA